AGCAUGACACGGCAGAAUGCACCUUCCGCAUGAAUGGCCCUCGUUUACAGCAUCAGCUGUCUGAACCCUACUUUCACUUCUCAAUCAAGGUUUCUCCACUUUUAUACGGCUUCUCUGCGGUGGCCUGUCCUCUCCGAUAUGCCUAAGCCCUAAAGAGACAAUAUUAAGAGCUGGAGUCUUCGGUCAUUAAGUCAUGAGGGUAAAGCCCCUUGUGAUGGGAUCAGCGCCCUUGUAAGAAGCGGCACACACCAGAGAGCUUGCUGUCUGCUGUGAAACAGGAGGGCCCUCACCCGAAACCCAACCGUGCUCGCACCCCGGCCUCAGACUUCCAGCCUCCAGAAAACGCUUUUCGCCUUGAAAGAGAGAACACCAACCAGCCCGCCCUGAGGCGAUGCCUGUAGCAUCAGGAUGCCAAGCCCAGUUCACGACGUUCACAGGCUGCACAAGACGACAAAGGCGGGAAGGUGGCAGCAGGCAGGCCUGAGUUACAAGGAGACGUCCUUCCCCAGUGAAGCCAGGUCCCGGGAGCUCUCAGCAUCGCUCCCCUGAGCAGCGUCUAGCUGGAUCCACCCCUCCCGGAUGAAAUCCACAGCCUCAUCCUCGAACAUCCCCGACUCCUGAAGCUAUAAAUUCCCGCUCAGUGAAGGGUUACGCCAAUGACACCCUCCGAAGGGAGUGGAAAAAGCAAGCAGCAUUAGAAGGGACAGGACAGAGAGAUGUAUGUGAGGAAAACGUGUCAUCCUCCCAAGGAAACCAAACACCUGCAAGAAAAACGGACAUUACCAUGAAAUAACCAGAGGUAAAUACAGAAAGUGCUUUGGCAUUUAGGGACGGAAGAGGAGGUCCAGGGGGCUGUGGGGGAAGCUACCCAAGGCUGCUCUAGGUUAGCACCAAGGAAGAGAUGGCGUUCGGAUCGCCUCCUAUUCACCCACGGAUGACGGACAGAGGGGUCCCCAACCCUAAAGAGCACAAGAUGGCCAAACACGUGACACCCAGCACUGGACAGAUGAGACUGCGAGCAGUUUAUCAGUCACAUAUCCUCACCCGCAUGGCGUGGAGGGCCCUCGGGGGUUGCACUUGGGAGCAGAGAACUAGCAGGGGCCGUGGGAGGCAGGCUCUGUACUGACGAGGGGGUGAGGUGACCCUUGGUAACCAUGGGAAGAUGGGAUCAGCUUGUUUGAACAACUCUGUGGGCUGGAAGGGAGAUGAAACCCACUAGGCUGAGGACUGGGAGGGGUGUACCUGGCUGGGCUGAUAGGGGAGCUGGCCAGGCAGGUGGGGGGAGCCCUUCCCACCGGGUGGGGGUGUGUCUGGCGAGAGCAGGGGACCUCACAGCUAGGUCUCUGGAGUGACGUGAGGCCCCAAGUUGUAGACGCAGCACAUGGAAUUCUAGGCUUUACUAUAACUGGGCAGGAAUCCAGUUAGUGGGGGGAGCAUGUGCGAGCGGGAUAAAUCCAAAAAGUGGCUGGCCUACGAGACGACCAAGAAAACACCCAUCUUGACUUGAAAAUGGCAUUUCCAAUUUAUAAGCCCAUUUCAGCCUUGUUUUCUAGCCCUCAGACUAGGAAAUAAAACUAAGCAUUCA